GGAAAAGGAGCCUUUUUGAAACGAGGGGUUGUGCAGGAACUCGGUGGAGCCUUGGAACCGGAUCCACUGGCCGUUUGGGUUGAGCUGGAACGAAAUUGACCUGCAGCACAUUAACCCCUCACUUUGCUAUUUCACCCGUUUGGAAGCGUCGCUCCUACAAUUACCGAUGUUACCCACUGGCCAUGGCUCCGCAAAUGGAUUUCCUACCCUAGACCCACAUCCACGUGUCAGAUCUGCACAUGCACAGUGAAGGCAGAAGGCUGUUCCCGGGGCUGAGCGGGGCCCGAAGGUCAGCAGGAGGCUCGGGUGGAGCGGUGAUGGAGCGAAGGGACUGGAAGAACGGAAGGAGGUGGACGCUGGGGGAGUAGGUCUGAACAGGUGGCUCCUUUGACCCACCAAGAAAGAUCACUAGCACUGAUGAGUAAGGAUAUUAACAGAAAUCUGG
rnacentral:lncRNA from 1 species